UACGUAGGGAGCAAGCGUUGUCCGGAUUUACUGGGUGUAAAGGGUGCGCAGGCGGGUAGACAAGUCAGAAGUGAAAUCCAUGGGCUUAACCCAUGAACUGCUUUUGAAACUGUUUAUCUUGAGUGAAGUAGAGGUAGGCGGAAUUCCCGGUGUAGCGGUGAAAUGCGUAGAGAUCGGGAGGAACACCAGUGGCGAAGGCGGCCUACUGGGCUUUAACUGACGCUGAAGCACGAAAGCGUGGGUAGCAAACAGG
rnacentral:misc_RNA from 1 species